rnacentral:sRNA from 1 species
UUUCCUCCGCUACGGCGGCGUGGAUUCCGAUCCCGUUUCACAGGCAGGCGUGAGAGGGAGUCCCGAGGGCUGCGCCCAAACAUGGGCGACGAUCCGGUGAAAAUCAUUGCUGGCGGUGCGGCCAGCAAUGACGACCGAAAACUG